rnacentral:rRNA from 1 species
UACGUAGGGUGCAAGCGUUGUCCGGAAUUAUUGGGCGUAAAGAGCUCGUAGGCGGUCUGUCGCGUCUGCUGUGAAAACUCGGGGCUUAACCCCGGGCCUGCAGUGGGUACGGGCAGACUAGAGUGCGGUAGGGGAGACUGGAAUUCCUGGUGUAGCGGUGAAAUGCGCAGAUAUCUGGAGGAACACCGGUGGCGAAGGCGGCAUCCUGGACCAACACUGACGCUGAGUGAGCGAAAGCCAGGGGAGCAAACGGG